rnacentral:misc_RNA from 1 species
AUUCUUGAGGACAAGAAUGAUUUAAAGGAGUGGGAAAUGUUAUGAGAGAGGGUUAUGGAGGGAAAAGCUAGUAUUGCAGUUAAAUAUGGAAGGGUGGUUAUAACUGAUAGAAGCAGUUACGAGCUAGAAGUAGCAUAAAAAUAGAAAGAGUACCUGCAAUCACUCAUUUCAGAAUGAAAUACAAGAAAUAUCUCUCUUCUUCUUCUCUAUAU